CAUGCCAUCUCACACGGGCAUGGCAUGCAGUCUGGUCCAGAUAUCUGUAAACUGUUUGAAAUGGCUUAAUUAAAUGUAAUAAUUGGACUCCUUAUUCCGUUGUAUUGUCUCAUUCCUGUUUGAUAAAUGAACAUGCCGGAACCUGGGAGGAUAAGCUGGUUUUUUUAGGUUCCUUCAGAGCCAAGCGUAACGAUCUUAUUCAGGCCGUCUCAUCUCUGCACGCUGCCUAAUUAAGGUGGAUGUGACCAUGGAGGAGCCACAAAGGAGGAGGAGCUUUGAUGCCAGGUGGUCAGCAGCAGGAAGCAUGAAGUGCUCUAAAACGUCCUGGUAGACGGCCGCGUUG